rnacentral:rRNA from 1 species
CUACGGGAUGCAGCAGUGAGGAAUAUUGCACAAUGGGGGGAACCCUGAUGCAGCAACGCCGCGUGGAGGAUGACGCAUUUCGGUGUGUAAACUCCUUUUAUAUGUCAAGAAAAUGACGGUAGCAUAUGAAUAAGCACCGGCUAACUCCGUGCCAGCAGCCGCGGUAAUACGGAGGGUGCAAGCGUUACUCGGAAUCACUGGGCGUAAAGGACGCGUAGGCGGGUUGGAAAGUCAGGUGUGAAAUCCUACAGCUUAACUGUAGAACUGCACUUGAAACUUCUAAUCUAGAGUAUGGGAGGGGGCGAUGGAAUUAGUGGUGUAGGGGUAAGAUCCGUAGAUAUCACUAGGAAUACCUAAAGCGAAGGCGAUCUCCUGGAACAUUACUGACGCUAAGGCGUGAAAGCGUGGGGAGCAAACAGGAUUAGAUACCCUAGUAGUC